rnacentral:rRNA from 1 species
AUGGGCACAUCAAUAAGGGCAUGGAGCCCGUUAAAGAGGAGGUCGGAGCGGCGUUGGACCUGGAUCAACUCAUCUAAAUCAAGCGGCCAGCCUCGGCUGGGAGUCACCAACGCUCCACCUGGACGGCGUCGGCUGGGACAGCUCCACAUGCAAUGGCUGGCCGGGGACCAGACCUCGACAGGAACGUGUUGCCCUUUCAGCCGGUGUUCUUUGACCUCGAGAAUGGCAACCAGGAGCUCAAGAGCGACGUCAAGGACCUCUACAUCAACCUCGGGCAAGUAA